CGGGGUAGGUGUACAAUAGGCAAAUCCGUUGUAUAAUCCGAAGACGUGAUGUGGAGCGAAAUAAAGUAGCAAAGCGUGUGAGCCAUGUGCCGAGAAAAGCUGCUAUUGUGUAAUGCGUGCCCGUACCGUAAACCGACACAGGUGGAUGAGGAGAGAAUCCUAAGGCCGACGGAAGAAGCAUUGUUAAGGAAUUCGGCAAAAUGACCCCGUAACUUCGGGAGAAGGGGUGCCUGCGAGAGCAGGCCGCAGAGAAUAGGCUCAAGCAACUGUUUAGCAAAAACACAGGUCUAUGCGAAACCGAAAGGUGAAGUAUAUGGGCUGACGCCUGCCCGGUGCUGGAAGGUUAAGAGGAGAGGUUAGCGUAAGCGAAGCUUUGAAUUUAAGCCCCAGUAAACGGCGGCCGUAACGAUAACGGUCCUAAGGUAGCGAAAUUCCUUGUCGGGUAAGUUCCGACCCGCACGAAAGGCGUAAUGAUUUGAGCACUGUCUCGACAAUGCAUCCGGUGAAAUUGAAGUACCAGUGAAGAUGCUGGUUACCCGCGCCAGGACGGAAAGACCCCAUGGAGCUUUACUCCAGUUUGAUACUGGGAUUCGGUACUGCAUGUACAGGAUAGGUGGGAGACGAAGAAGGAUGGACGCCAGUCUGUCCGGAGUCGCUGUUGGGAUACCACCCCUGUAGUACUGGGUUUCUAACCAGUUGCCAUGAACUGGCAAUGGGACAAUGUCAGGCGGGGAGUUUGACUGGGGCGGUCGCCUCCGAAAGGGUAUCGGAGGCGCUCAAAGGUUCCCUCAGAAUGGUUGGAAACCAUUUGAAGAGUGCAAAGGCAGAAGGGAGCUUGACUGCGACACCGACGGGUGGAGCAGGUACGAAAGUAGGACUUAGUGAUCCGGUGGUAUAAAGUGGGAUUGCCAUCGCUCAACGGAUAAAAGCUACCCUGGGAUAACAGGCUUAUCACUCCCAAGAGUUCACAUCGACGGAGUGGUUUGGCACCUCGAUGUCGGCUCAUCGCAUCCUGGGGCUGUAGCAGGUCCCAAGGGUUGGGCUGUUCGCCCAUUAAAGCGGUACGCGAGCUGGGUUCAGAACGUCGUGAGACAGUUCGGUCCCUAUCCGGCGCGGGCGGGGGAUAUUUGAGAGGAGCUGUCCUUAGUACGAGAGGACCGGGAUGGACGGACCACUGGUGUAUCUGUUGUCGACCAACGGCAUGGCAGUGUAGCCAAGUCUGGAAGGGAUAAACGCUGAAGGCAUCUAAGCGUGAAGCCCCCCUCAAGAUGAGAUAUCCCUCCUUCGGGAGUAAGGCCCCUUGAAGACUACAAGGUAGAUAGGGCAGAGGUGGAAGCAUGGCAACAUGUGGAGCUGACUGUUACUAAUAGGUCGAGGGCUUACU
rnacentral:rRNA from 1 species